UACGUAGGGGGCAAGCGUUGUCCGGAAUCACUGGGCGUAAAGCGCGCGCAGGCGGCGAUCUACGUCUGGGGUGAAAGCCCAGAGCUCAACUCUGGGACUGCCUUGGAUACGGGAUCGCUUGAGGAUCGGAGAGGCAAGGGGAAUUCCACGUGUAGCGGUGAAAUGCGUAGAGAUGUGGAGGAACACCUGUGGCGAAGGCGCCUUGCUGGCCGAUUUCUGACGCUGAGGCGCGAAAGCGUGGGGAGCAAACAGG
rnacentral:rRNA from 1 species